rnacentral:rRNA from 1 species
UACGGAGGGGGCUAGCGUUGUUCGGAUUUACUGGGCGUAAAGGGAGCGUAGGUGGUUAGGUAAGCCCUCCGGGAAAUCUUCAGGCUUAACCUGAAAAGGUCGGGGGGGACUGCCUAGCUAGAGGGCGGGAGAGGAGCGCGGAAUUCCCGGUGUAGCGGUGAAAUGCGUAGAGAUCGGGAGGAAGGCCGGUGGCGAAGGCGGCGCUCUGGAACGUUUCUGACACUGAGGCUCGAAAGCGUGGGGAGCAAACAGG